rnacentral:rRNA from 1 species
AUUGAACGCUGGCGGAAUGCUUUACACAUGCAAGUCGAACGGCAGCACGGGGGCAACCCUGGUGGCGAGUGGCGAACGGGUGAGUAAUACAUCGGAACGUGCCCAAUCGUGGGGGAUAACGUAGCGAAAGCUACGCUAAUACCGCAUACGAUCUACGGAUGAAAGCGGGGGAUCGCAAGACCUCGCGCGAAUGGAGCGGCCGAUGGCAGAUUAGGUAGUUGGUGGGGUAAAGGCUCACCAAGCCAACGAUCUGUAGCUGGUCUGAGAGGACGACCAGCCACACUGGACUGAGACACGGCCCAGACUCCUACGGGAGGCAGCAGUGGGGAAUUUUGGACAAUGGGCGAAAGCCUGAUCCAGCCAUUCCGCGUGCAGGAUG